UACGUAGGGCGCAAGCGUUAUCCGGAAUUAUUGGGCGUAAAGAGCUCGUAGGCGGUUUGUCGCGUCUGCCGUGAAAGUCCGGGGCUCAACUCCGGAUCUGCGGUGGGUACGGGCAGACUAGAGUGAUGUAGGGGAGACUGGAAUUCCUGGUGUAGCGGUGAAAUGCGCAGAUAUCAGGAGGAACACCGGUGGCGAAGGCGGCGAUCUGGGAAGAUACUGACGCUGAGGUGCGAAAGCGUGGGGAGCAAACAGG
rnacentral:rRNA from 1 species